CCGGUCUCUUCCAUUAGAACAGGACAGAAGUCUGGAUUCACGCGGGGUCAUCAUGAAGAUCUGUUUUCAGGGAAAGUAAAACAGCAUCUCCAGCCCAUAGUGGAGGGUGUGUGAAGAGUGACUGGUCCAUGGAUUCUCCUCUAAACUUCAGCAGUGGAGGAGGAAGCUCUGGGUCACGAACUGGAACCCAGAGAGCAGCUUCUCCAGUCCCCAGUGGAUUGUCUAUGAAGAGUGACAGGUCACUGGGUCCUCCUCCUAACUUCAGUGGUGAAGCUGUGACCUCUGACCCAAAAACUGAAACCCAGAGAGCAGCUUCUCCAGUCCCCAGUGGAGUGUCUAUGCAGAGUGACCGUUCACUGGGUCCUCCUCCUAACUUCAGUGGUGAAGCUGUGACCGCUGACCCAAAAGAGAAGAAAAAAAACAUUUUCUGGGAAAAUUUGGACAGUAUAUUCAAGGAGCUGCAGCAUAAAUGUAUCUCUCUAGUGAAGAGCGAGCUGAACACAUUUAAGAAGCUCCUGAGUACAGAUGACCCAGCAUGCUCUGAGAAAGAGGUGGAGGAUGAUCAGAGAGAGGGGGUGCUGAAGAUCACACUGCAUAUCCUGAGGAACAUGAAGCAGACAGACCUCGCCAACACACUAGAGAGCCGUAAGAGUUACCAUGGGUAACAACAUGGUGCUAAUUGACUUCAUUUACUUCAAGUCAAAGUUCUCAAAAAG
rnacentral:lncRNA from 1 species